rnacentral:rRNA from 1 species
CUUAGAGUUUGAUCCUGGCUCAGGAUGAACGCUGGCGGCGUGCCUAAUACAUGCAAGUCGAACGAAUCUCUUUUAGAGAUGAGUGGCGAACGGGUGAGUAAUACAUAGGUAACCUGCCCCUGUGCGGGGGAUAACAGGAGGAAACUCCUGCUAAUACCGCAUAGCCAUGAGCACCGCAUGGAGCUCAUGCCAAAUAUCCUUUCGGGGAUAGCGCAGGGAUGGACCUAUGGCGCAUUAGCUGGUUGGCGGGGCAACGGCCCACCAAGGCAACGAUGCGUAGCCGGCCUGAGAGGGCGGACGGCCACAUUGGGACUGAGACACGGCCCAGACUCCUACGGGAGGCAGCAGUAGGGAAUUUUCGGCAAUGGGGGAAACCCUGACCGAGCAACGCCGCGUGAGCGAAGAAGGCCUUCGGGUCGUAAAGCUCUGUUGUAAAGGAAGAACGGCGCAUACAGGAAAUGGUAUGCGAGUGACGGUACUUUACCAGAAAGCCACGGCUAACUACGUGCCAGCAGCCGCGGUAAUACGUAGGUGGCGAGCGUUAUCCGGAAUCAUUGGGCGUAAAGAGGGAGCAGGCGGCCGCAAGGGUCUGUGGUGAAAGACCGAAGCUAAACUUCGGUAAGCCAUGGAAACCGGGCGGCUAGAGUGCGGAAGAGGAUCGUGGAAUUCCAUGUGUAGCGGUGAAAUGCGUAGAUAUAUGGAGGAACACCAGUGGCGAAGGCGACGGUCUGGGCCGCAACUGACGCUCAUUCCCGAAAGCGUGGGGAGCAAAUAGGAUUAGAUACCCUAGUAGUCCACGCCGUAAACGAUGGUCACUAAGUGUCGGGGGUCAAACCCCGGUGCUGCAGUCAACGCAAUAAGUGACCCGCCUGAGUAGUACGUUCGCAAGAAUGAAACUCAAAGGA